CAAAUUUUGAUCUGAAAUCAGGUAGGGCUACCCGCUGAACUUAAGCAUAUCAAUAAGCGGAGGAAAAGAAACUAACAAGGAUUCCCCUAGUAACGGCGAGUGAAGCGGGAAGAGCUCAAAUUUAAAAUCUGGUUUGCUUUGCAAAUCCGAGUUGUAGUCUGAAGAAACGUUUUCCAUGAAAGCUGAGGCACAAGUCCUUUGGAACAGGGCAUCAUAGAGGGUGAGAAUCCCGUCCAUGGUCUCAAGUCUUUCAUUUUGUGAUACGUUUUCUAAGAGUCAGGUUGUUUGGGAAUGCAGCCUAAAAUGGGUGGUAAAUUUCAUCUAAAGCUAAAUAUUGGCGAGAGACCGAUAGCGAACAAGUACCGUGAGGGAAAGAUGAAAAGAACUUUGAAAAGAGAGUUAAAAAGUACGUGAAAUUGUUGAAAGGGAACCGUUUGAAGCCAGUCUUGCUUGCUUGUGAUCAAUCUUUGCUUCGGCUUGGAUGCACUCUCAGGUUAUGCAGGUCAACGUCAGUUUGAGAGGUGGGAAAAAAGCUUGAGGAAUGUGGCCUUCGGGUGUUAUAGCCUCUUGCUAAAUACCAUCUUUUGGACUGAGGCUCGCAGCAAAAAUGUGGGCAGGUUUGCGUUUGAGGUGAUACAUUAUUAAGACAGCUUGCUGACUUAGUUUUGUCUAUCUUCACUGUAAGCUUCGCUUCUAAUUUGCUUAGGUCGUUGACAUAAUGGCUUUAAAUGACCCGUCUUGAAACACGGACCAAGGAGUCUAACAUAUAUGCGAGUAUUUGGGUGGCAAACCCACAUGCGCAAUGAAAGUGAAAUUAGGUGCCAAACUCUCACGAGUGGCAGCAUCGGCCGGCUCUGACGUUUCUAACUGACGAGUCUGAGCAGAAGCAUACAUGUUGGGACCCGAAAGAUGGUGAACUAUGCCUGAAUAGGGUGAAGCCAGAGGAAACUCUGGUGGAGGCUCGUAGCGAUUCUGACGUGCAAAUCGAUCGUCAAAUUUGGGUAUAGGGGCGAAAGACUAAUCGAACC
rnacentral:rRNA from 1 species